rnacentral:rRNA from 1 species
AGUUAAUCUGCCCUUUAGAGGGGAUAACAGUUGGAAACGACUGCUAAUACCCCAUACUCCUUUUAUCUUAAUGAUAAUUGGGAAACGUUUUUUCGCUAAAGGAUGAGACUAUAUGGUAUCAGGUAGUUGGUAGGGUAAGAGCCUACCAAGCCAAUGACGCCUAGCUGGUCUGAGAGGAUGAUCAGCCACACUGGAACUGAGACACGGUCCAG